rnacentral:rRNA from 1 species
UACAUGGGGUGCAAACGUUGCUCGGAAUUAUUGGGCGUAAAGCGCGCGUAGGCGGUUACUCAAGUCGGAUGUGAAAGCCCUCGGCUUAACUGAGGAAGUGCACCCGAAACUGAGUAGCUAGAGUACUAAAGAGGGUCGCGGAAUUCCCGGUGUAGAGGUGAAAUUCGUAGAUAUCGGGAGGAACACCGGUGGCGAAGGCGGCGACCUGGGUAGAUACUGACGCUGAGGCGCGAAAUCGUGGGGAGCAAACAGG